AACGAACGCUGGCGGCAGGCCUAACACAUGCAAGUCGAACGCCCCGCAAGGGGAGUGGCAGACGGGUGAGUAACACGUGGGAACGUGCCCUAAGGUUCGGAAUAUUCCCGGGAAACUGGGAGCAAUACCGAAUGUGACCGCAAGGUGAAAGAUUUAUCGCCUUAGGAUCGGCCCGCGUCGGAUUAGCUUGUUGGUGGGGUAAAAGCCUACCAAGGCGACGAUCCGUAGCUGGUCUGAGAGGACGACCAGCCACACUGGGACUGAGACACGGCCCAGACUCCUACGGGAGGCAGCAGUGGGGAAUCUUGGACAAUGGGCGCAAGCCUGAUCCAGCCAUGCCGCGUGGAUGAUGAAGGCCUUAGGGUUGUAAACCGCUUUUGUCAGGGAAGAAACGCUUCGGGCUAAUACUUCGAAGUAAUGACGGUACCUGAAGAAUAAGCACCGGCUAACUACGUGCCAG
rnacentral:rRNA from 1 species